AUUUUGGGCUGGAAGGUCGACGGCGGUGGCUCGGCGCCACUGUCGGUCUGGCUGGAAAGAUAGAAGGUCGGGGGCUGUGAGGCGGCUCAUCGCCGUUGCUCCGGCGAGGGUUUGAGAAGAGAGUCAGGGGAGGCCGAGCCUAGGGCUCCGGCGGGCGGCUUCUGCUGCUGCUUAUCGGAAGAAGUCCGAGAGGGAAGCCAGGCGCUGCGGCUCUGCCGUUGCUGCCUAGCUACGGUGAAGAGUGGGGAAGGAGAGGACGACGGCGGCGGUGGCUUGAUGCUCCUGCUGCCCGUCGAUCCAGAGAGAGUCGGAGUCGGCGGCGGUAGUGGCUUCUCGCUGCUAUCGCCGGAGUUCCAGAGGGAGGAUCGGAGUUUGAGAGGGAGGAGCGGUGGCGGCUGGGGCUGCUAUCGCCGGAGGUAGAACCGCGGGGGUUGAGCUUUCAGAGGGAGGCUAGAGCUCGGCGGCCUUGGCUGCUGUCUCUCGGCCACUGUCAGAGAGAGAGAGAACUGGUGGCGGCAGCUCGUCGCUGCUGCUCCUCCGGCGAGCUCCACGGUGGGCGGCUGUUACCAGCCGAAGAGAGAGGGGCCGAGGAAGGCGGCUGGUCUUUUCGGUUGAUGCGGCUGCCGGUCGACGGCUGCCUCGCCGGAAGGAUGCGCGGUGGCGGGACUGAUGGCUGAGAGAGAAGGGAGCGAGAGAUGAGGGAAGAGGGAGCCGAGAGAGGGAGAAGAGAGUGAGAUGUGAUAGUAUGUGUGUGUGUGUGCGGCUGGGGAGGAAGAAAAAGGGUGGUGGGGGUGUUGGGCUUUAGGUUUGGGUUAGGGGUUGGGCUUUAAAUUUGGGCCGGGUUUUUAAUUAGUGUUGGGCUGAAAAUUUUGUUAGAAUUUGGGCCGAGUUGGGCCGUUUUUUUUUUUUUUUUUUUUUUUUAUUUAUUUUUUUCAGUUGGGCUUGAGUCUUUGGGCCAAGUCAGUAAUGGGCUCAGUUUAUUUAAUUUAGUUAUGGGACGAUUUUAUGAGUACUUGGGCCGAGAUUUUUAAUUAAAUGGGCUGAGUUAUUUCUUAAUUUUGGGCCGAUUUCCUUUUAUUAAGUUGGGCC
rnacentral:lncRNA from 1 species